UACGUAGGGUGCGAGCGUUGUCCGGAAUUAUUGGGCGUAAAGAGCUUGUAGGCGGUUUGUCGCGUCUGCUGUGAAAUCUCAAGGCUCAACCUUGAGCUUGCAGUGGGUACGGGCAGACUAGAGUGUGGUAGGGGAGACUGGAACUCCUGGUGUAGCGGUGAAAUGCGCAGAUAUCAGGAGGAACACCGAUGGCGAAGGCAGGUCUCUGGGCCACUACUGACGCUGAGAAGCGAAAGCAUGGGGAGCGAACAGG
rnacentral:rRNA from 1 species